rnacentral:rRNA from 1 species
UACGAAGGGGGCUAGCGUUGUUCGGAAUUACUGGGCGUAAAGCGCGCGCAGGCGGUCUUCCAAGUCAGUGGUGAAAGCCCGGAGCUCAACUCCGGAACUGCCAUUGAAACUGUAAGACUUGAGGAUGAGAGAGGUGAGUGGAAUUCCCAGUGUAGAGGUGAAAUUUGUAGAUAUUGGGAAGAACACCGGUGGCGAAGGCGGCUCACUGGCUCAUAUCUGACGCUCAGGCGCGACAGCGUGGGGAUCAAACAGG